AUUCUAAUAGUUUAUAAAAAAAUAUUAGUUUGUGGUGCUAAAGAAAUAAUUUAUUAUUUAGAAUA
rnacentral:tRNA from 1 species